rnacentral:rRNA from 1 species
AUUGAACGCUGGCGGCAGGCCUAACACAUGCAAGUCGAACGGCAGCACAGAAGAGCUUGCUCUUUGGGUGGCGAGUGGCGGACGGGUGAGUAAUGUCUGGGAAACUGCCCGAUGGAGGGGGAUAACUACUGGAAACGGUAGCUAAUACCGCAUAACGUCGCAAGACCAAAGUGGGGGACCUUCGGGCCUCACACCCUCGGAUGUGCCCGGAUGGGAUUAGCUAGUAGGUGGGGUAAUGGCUCACCUAGGCGACGAUCCGUAGCUGGGAUGAGGGGAGGACCAGCCACACUGGAACUGAGACAAGGUCCAGACUCCUACGGGAGGCAGCAGUGGGGAAUAUUGCACAAUGGGCUCAAGCCUGAUGCAGCCAUGCCGCGUGUAUGAAGAAGGCCUUCGGGUUGUAAAGUACUUUCAGCGGGGAGGAAGGCGGUGAGGUUAAUAACCUCGCCGAUUGACGUUACCCGCAGAAGAAGCACCGGCUAACUCCGUGCCAGCAGCCGCCGUAA